rfam:Ipomoea nil DNA, scaffold: scaffold0805, cultivar: Tokyo-kokei standard.
GUGGAUGUGAUGAGUAUUUCCCCAGAUGAUCGAAGCUGAAAUUACUGAGCGCUCUUUGUGUUUUCUCCUACGGAGAAAUUCCAAGCCAGAUAUUCUGAUCCAU